rnacentral:tRNA from 2 species
UCCCGCUUAGCUCAGUUGGUUAGAGCGUAGUGCUAAUAACGCUAAGGUCAACAGUUCGACCCUGUUAGUGGGAA